rnacentral:rRNA from 1 species
GGUUAAGUCAGGCAACGAGCAAGACCCGUGCCCACAGUUGCCAGCAUACCCUCCGGGGUGAUGGGCACACUGUGGGGACCGCCGCUGCCAAAGCGGAGGAAGGCGCGGGCUACGGUAGGUCAGUAUGCCCCGAAUCAUCCGGGCUACACGCGGGCUACAAUGGUUGGGACAAUGGGCACCUACACCGAGAGGUGAUGGUAAUCUCCUAAACCCAGCCUUAGUUCGGAUUGAGGGCUGCAACUCGCCCUCAUGAAGCCGGAAUCCGUAGUAAUCGCGUAUCAAUAUCACGCGGUGAAUACGUCCCUGCUCCUUGCACA